AGCGAACGCUGGCGGCAGGCCUAACACAUGCAAGUCGAACGAACCUUUCGGGGUUAGUGGCGGACGGGUGAGUAACACGUGGGAACGUGCCUUUAGGUUCGGAAUAACUUAGGGAAACUUGUGCUAAUACCGAAUGUGCCCUUCGGGGGAAAGAUUUAUCGCCUUUAGAGCGGCCCGCGUCUGAUUAGCUAGUUGGUUGAGGUAAUGGCUCACCAAGGCGACGAUCAGUAGCUGGUCUGAGAGGAUGAUCAGCCACAUUGGGACUGAGACACGGCCCAAACUCCUACGGGAGGCAGCAGUGGGGAAUCUUGCGCAAUGGGCGAAAGCCUGACGCAGCCAGGCCGCGUGAAUGAUGAAGGUCUUAGGAUUGUAAAAUUCUUUCACCGGGGACGAUAAUGACGGUACCGGAGAAGAAGCCCCGGCUAACUUCGUG
rnacentral:rRNA from 1 species